rnacentral:lncRNA from 1 species
UGAGAUCUAAAAAUAAAAACUUACAUCAAUCUAAUCGAUGUUGCAAUUCUAGAUCUAACUGUUAGAUCUAACAAAAUCGAUCAAGAAAGUUUAGAAACCAUUACCAAAUUAAAAACUCUUGAUCUCUGCUGGUCCAAUACUUGGAUAAACUCUCCUUUAGGUUGCUCACAGUCAUAUGAAGUUGUCCGACCUCUACAGAAUGUCUACACAA